UAAAGUGAGCCUGCAAGGCGUGGGGGGCGCGGGAUUGGGAGAGAUUGAGGGCAGGUCCCAGGGAAUUGGUGCCUGCAAGUGAAUGCCUAAAAAUGACUGGUGGACUGGUGUGAAUUUCUUGAGCCGUGAAGAACAGAAAAUGGCGUCGGGUCCAGGGUGGCAGGGUCUCCAUGACGACCUUCAAAUCGCUCCUUGCAACUACACAAUCUGGCAUGGCAAAGAAUGCUCAUUCCUGCUGUGAGCUGUCCCUCAACCAUUGACAGGCAGCAAGGAACAUGUGCCCUAGCAGA